AUCUGAUAUAGUUAACUGUUUUCCUCUGAUUCCAACUUACGGUCGAGUGGUUCAAGAGUUAACGAGAAGCUAAGCUGACAGAACAUCUUCUAAAAAGUUGGUGCUAACUGAUAAUGCUAAAACUUACACUCGAAAUUAGGCGUAACGCGAUCAUCGUCAAUAUAUUUACCCAACGAAGUGUUGGGGAUGAAUCCACGAGGAGUGAAGACCAUGACCAUGAUCACCUCUUCCAAGUUCCACUACACCCCCAACUUAGGCUUUUAUCCUCAAGUUGACAAUUUCCAAUACAAGGAGGGUAGGGUUCAAGAGGGAUAAAUUUCAAAUGGUUCAAGGCUUGUAAUGUGGUUGCCAAAGAAAGGUUAAUAUGCUCAAAAAGGCUGACUAGAGAUACCAUUCAUACAUGGGUAGGCUUUUUACGCUAAAGUGGCUUUCAACAAUCACAAAAACGGCCUAAGAUCUUGUCUCCAACAAAGCAUAAUCAAGAUUAGCUUUGAAUGACCAACGAGGCAAGUUCUAGAUGACACAAGUAAGCACAAGAAUCAUUCCACUAAUGCUUUCCACAUAUGGCAUACAAAGUACUCUAGAAGGAUCACUUGCUUUUCCAACAUAAAAACAAAGGACUCAUCUAAAGAAUGAGCAGUCACAAAAAGCGGCAAAGCUUUGUUACAAAAUCAUUCACUUCCAUGGUCUUGAUUUUCACAAAAAAAAAUUAGAUAGAGGGGAUGCUUAUUUUGCACUUUACCACCCAAGAUUAACUAUCAAUAGCAUAAAGCAAGCCACCAUCACACUUUCUGGCUCUAAUGAGGGCAAUACUUAUGGCUACUCAGCCUUUACCAUAUAUAUCAUGUCAAUCCCAAUUCGUAAUGCAACGGAUACUCCGAAUUUCCCAGCAUAUACGACUCCACACCUAACCACGACGAUUUUUCUUUAAGAAUGUCGUCACUCAAUCUUUCAUAAGGAAAGACUCAUCCAAGCUCACUCUAAAAAAGGAAAAGAAAAAUCUAGAAAAGAAAAAUGACAAAUCCACAAAAUCUCAAUAAAGCAUAAGCUCGAUAGGGGUACCCAAUAUGCGAACCAAAUUAUGAAAUCAUCAAAAUAACAUAACUCAAAAACAUUUGAAUAAUACAAAUAUCCUUGCUAAAUAAGAAUUAAAAUCAUAUAAAUAUUACAGGCCAAAUAUAAAAUAUAAAAGACGGAUAGAGGAAACCCCCAACUAAAAUGUUGUAGUGUCUUCAAUGCAUAUCAUGAAAGCAUAGAAGAGUUAAAGGAUAUCCCUGAAAUCGUAUCAUGGGCUACUGUCACUCUCUGUUUCCUCCUUUCCAUCAUCAAAAUCAGGCUCCUCUUCCUCAAACUACUGUUAUGUAAUCUCAUCAUCAGCAUCUGCUCUUUCAAAGGGAAUUCUCUCAUUUGGUUUUAGGACUUUCCACAACCCUUUCACCCCUUUCCACAUUCCGAUGAAAAACUUGUCCCGCUUUUUCUCCCUCCUUUUUUAGCAUGAUAUUCACUCAGCUCUUGAUGUGACUUUGCCAAGGAGGUGUAAGCUUUUUCCAAGUUAGCGAUAGUGGAUCUUUUCUUCUUUUGGUCUUUCAUAAGAUUCUCAUACUUACUUUGGGAGACAUAAAAGGUGCAACCUAUAAAAGAAUCACCAGGCCAUGUAGUUAAUUUGGACACCAAAUACCUGACGAACCAUAUCUGACUUUACAGCUCUUCUAAUGGUCCUAGUGAUAAUAGUCUGUAAGAGUAGAUAUAAUUUUUGACCAACUUACCUAAAUCAAUCUUUCACUUCUUGUUAUUAGAAGUUUCUCCUUCACCACACAUAUUAAAUGGGUAAAUAGGUGUCUUUAGGGUAAUCCAAUUGUCCCCC
rnacentral:lncRNA from 1 species